rnacentral:rRNA from 1 species
CAGAGGGUGCGAGCGUUAAUCGGAAUUACUGGGCGUAAAGCGCGCGUAGGCGGCUUUGCAAGUCGGGUGUGAAAUCCCCAGGCUUAACCUGGGAACUGCAUUCGAGACUGCAUAGCUAGAGUAUGGGAGAGGGGAGUGGAAUUUCAGGUGUAGCGGUGAAAUGCGUAGAUAUCUGAAGGAACAUCAGUGGCGAAAGCGACUUCCUGGACCAAUACUGACGCUCAUGUGCGAAAGCGUGGGGAGCAAACAGGAUUAGAUACCCUGGUAGUCCACGCCAUAAACGAUGAGAACUGGAUGUCGGGAGGGUCUGCCUCUCGGUGUCGUAGCUAACGCGUUAAGUUCUCCGCCUGGGGAGUACGGCCGCAAGGUUG